rnacentral:tRNA from 1 species
CCUUUGGUAGCUCAGCUGGUAGAGCGGAGGACUAUUGAUCCUUAGGUGGCUGGUUUGAGUCUGGCUUGAAGGA